UCUUAGGAAAUCCGACCUAUCUAUCUUGCACGCAUGGUGGCUCUCUUCCACUCGCGAUUAAUCUAUUCCCAUGAUCCCCGAAGCACCGCUAUUUCCCUAGUCUCUCUCAAUCAUGAUCCAACUCUUCCCUCGACUCGAUUCCCGCCGUCGGCAACCUUCUCCCUCUCUUCCCUUCAUCAUCCGAGUCCCUUUCAUUGCCGAUCCCUUCCGUUCGUUGGAGAUCUUCUCACUACUACCUACCCUCUGCCGGAGAUCUCUUCGCCACUCUCUUCGCCUGGGAUUUUCUUUUCUUGAUGGGGAAGUAGAAAAAAGAAUUGAGUUUUGAUCGAGUCUUGCUGCUGCUUUCGAAAAGGAACAGAGAGUCAGCUUCUCUCCCUCGCUUGCUUCGUUACCUGUCUCAACGUUCCAUCCCAUAUACGCAGACUGAAUUUUUCACUUGCCGAGGUAUUGAGGUCAAAAAAUUGAAGGAGCCUCAUACAUGCUCAUCUGUGAACAAGUGUGGCAACAAGAUAGCUACAUAAUUUUGGAUACGUGACAAGAUGAUUGAUUGGACAAGAAAAGAGGGUGACCUGUAACCUAUUAAAAUAGGAAGGAGAUUGUUACAGUUCCAUCAUCUUAAGCUUCUAUAUCAUAGAGUUUGGUGAGGAAAGGAGCUUGCAUUGUCCAUGAUUCAUGGAAUUGGGUAGAUUUGUUGAGAGAAUGGAGGAUUUUAUGGAAGAGCUUUUGAGAAGAAACCGAGGUAGUCUGCUAAAGCUAAAGUUAGAUGUGGUUGGUGACAAGCAUUACUUACACCACUUCUUUAUUUCUUUUGGGGCUUGUAGUACGGGCUUCUUAGCCGGCUGUAGAUCUUUUGUAGGCCUGAAUGGUUACCACUUGAACAGAAAGUUCCGAAGUAUGAUGAUGGCUACUAUAGCACUUGAUGGAAAUAAUAGUUUAUUUCCAGUUGCCUUUGGUAUUGUAGAAUCUAAAAAUGGUGAUAGCUAGACUUGGUUUUUUAGAUGUACUUAAAGAAUCAAUUGAAACUCUAGAAGAUCUAAUACUUAUGUUAGAUUGACAAAAAAGACUAGAAGAAGCAGUGAAAUAUAUAUACCCCGAAGUAGAACAUAAAAAAUGCAUGAGGCACCUGCAUCAAAACUUCCAAACAAAGUUCUUAUGAUAGUGGUUUAAAAUCAAGGUAUAGAAGGCUGCAAAGACAUUCACAAAAGGUCAACAUGAUAAUAUCAUGGAUCAAAUUAAGUAGGCUAGCUUGGAGGUAUUCAAGUACCUUAGUGCUGAAAAUAUUAGUUUAUGGAGAAGAUCUCAAUUUGGCAUCACAACUAAGUGCCCGCACAUAAUGAACAACCUUUCAUAGUCAUUCAAUGCUUGGAUUUCUGAGGUUAGAUAUAGACCAGUUUUUGAUUCAUUCGAUGUUGUAAAGAAAAAAAUUAUGGUGAAGAAGGAAACUAGAAGGAGAAUGGUUGCCCACUGGAAGGAAAAUUUAAUUCCUAUGCUAAUGAAGUAUAUAAGAGAAAUUAGCCUUAACUUAGUUAUUUAUGAUGUCUAUAGAACUAGUGAUUCAAAGUAGAAAUUGUGAGUACCCAUAUGGGUGUGUGUUUAGUCCCACAUCGGUUAUGCACUAGGUAGAUCUUGGUAUUUAUAUAAGACCUAAUGGAUGAAAGUUGAUAUUGGAUACAAGGUGUUGCCUUCGAAGCUCUACCUAAAAAAGAACUAAUGUGAAUACACCAAAGAUGCACAAAUGUAAGCAUUGUGGUGAGCUUAGGCAUCAUAUAAAGACUUGUAAAAAUCUAGUAGUGGAUAAAUCUCAAGUUUUAGUAUCCUUAUUUUUUGCACCAAAGAAGCCUAGGAGUAAAAAUCUAGUAGUGGAUAAAUCUCAAGUUUUAGUAUCCUUAUCUUUUGCACCAAAGAAGCCUAGGAGGUAACACAUAGCACUAAUCUGACUUAAUGAUGUUUAUCCUAUAUCAAUUGCUUAUCACCGAAAUAUUGCGGCUUAAGGGAAAUGGCUCAAGAAGAAGAGUGUCAACCAUAGGAGAUACAUAUGCAAUGUUCAUAGCACCAAGAGGGGGAAAAAAGCAAAGGAAGACCUUGCAAGCAAGCUAGAAGAAUGGAAACUAUUGAUGGAGAUGGUAAUUCCUACCCACAAUCUUGAUUUGUAUAUGACUAGAUAUACCUAUUCUCAACUUUGCACUUUAUUUGCUUUCAUGUUAUUAGGAUCACUGUUAUAAUUGUUAUUAAACAUAAUUUGUUGGUUGAUAUAGAGUUAAAUCUCAUUCUUAGUUUUUUUUUUCCCUAAUUGUAGAUUUGAUCUCAUGUUUUGCUAGAGUAGCGGAGAUUAUGUUGGAUCUUGAUUUGAUUUAGUUCUAGAAUGGCAAUUUGUUCUGUUCUACAAUGAUGAAGUCAUGGUUCAGGAAGUUCUUUUGAUUGAAGAAAUGUGAAUAAUUUUUUCCUAUGUAUUUUUGCAUUAUGUGGAUAAGGAAACAAUAUUUUCUUGCAAUGAAGUUAAACUUCUCAUGCUUUUGGUUGUUAUGUAUGAGCUGCAAUUCUAAUUAAGCAGCAAUUCUAAUUAAUCAAGUAAUUUCAGAUCUUGCCUAGCUGAAAAUUAUUUAUCAGCAAGUUCUUUAAUGUUCAACUGGUGUAAAAUGCUAUAGCACCUGCUCACAUUUUGAAUGGAAUAUACAAAACCACCCUCAAAUCCAAGAUUUCUUCCUCAAGUCCAACUCCAACAGAAUGUUGACCUGUCAAAAAUGUCGACCAGAAGGGAGAGCUCGAAAAUGCUACUGAUUGACUUUGAAGGUCUUAGAAGGUUGGCGCUCAUGACUGCUGGAAGGAAGUGCAGAUGUCACAUGGUGAAAGAAUAUACAAACUGCUGUUGUACCAAAAAAAAAAAAAAGAAUAUACAAACCCGACUCGCCAUGAUAUUUCCCUUACACUGGCCGAUUACAGGCCUUCUGAAUUUAUAUCUAGUAUUAGAUCACGUAACUCCGGGGACACAGAAACAAGUACAAGUUCCAACAUGCUAUAUGCAAGCUGCUUAAUACAUUCAGUAGACUACAGAUGCAAUAUGUUUCCAUAGAUUAGAAAACAGUUUUAUCUUUGAUUCACAUUAAAUCAAACAUGCCAUUGUUUUUAGAUGAGCUGACCUGGAAAAAGUAAUACAUAUCCUUUGUACAACGCCUGUAUUGACUCCCAAACCAAAAUAUCAGAUGAGACUCUGAUAUUGUCUGUCUAAAAAUAGCUCUAGCACUCAUUGUGUUAACGCUGUAGUCUUGCAAUGGCAUCUUCAAAAGUUCCUCUGUUUGUUGUGGUUCUGUCCAUUCAAAACAUGCAUGGAAACAAAAGAAUGACUUGGCUGUGGGAAUUGCAAACCAGGUAACGUGGAUAGUGUUUAAUCUUUUUCUUUCAUUUUGUUGGUUUUUGGGCUUCUGAUCGGUUAUGUACGAAAACUAGGUACCAUAUGCUUACAGGAAUGCAGAUAUAGAACAGGAUCAAUGCCUAAAAACUAUUAGGACCGUGCAGAUAGGUCAGAUCAGAAAAUGUAUGAUGCCUAUUAUGCGCUAACUAAGAAACACUUUAACCGAUAGAAAAAUCAUAUUUACCCACAUUCAGAAUCUGUACACGAACACUAUCUCACCAAGUAUAAUUUUCCUAACAUCACUUGUUCUACAAGCUGCUUCAAGCUACAGCGCGAAAUAGCUCAGUCUGGUCGCCUAGGCCAGAGAACCUGCUUUGAGUAAAAGCAAUUAUAAAUAAAAUUCAGGACAACUUAUUAUUUUCCAAGGAUAUAAUGAAACUUCAGAGAAAUUUAGAUGAUAUCGGCAUAUAGCAAACUUUCAUGUUUCCUCCAAUGAUUCACUAGUGAACUUUCACCACUAAGUGAUUUUCUUUUUCUCCUCCAAGUAGGCAGACUGCACAAGUUAUAUAAUUACCCAAAAGGACAUGAUAAAACACAUUUAAGAAAAGUGGAGAAAUGCAAAAAUGGACUCAUGGUAAGGAAAAGGCAAAGUUGACUUUCAUUUCUUCAUUACCAUGCAUGGAAAACCCAGUCAUAAACAAUUACAGAAUUGAUUACAUUAAAAUAGAUUUUGUUUUCUGCGUGAAUACCCUUCUAAAUGUUGUGCCAACCUAAAUGCUUUGGAUUACUAUUGUAAUUGGAACUCUUUGGGUUUUAAGACUCCACCCUUUGUCAACUCCACUUUUUGACAAAUUUUCAAAUAUAUCCUGACUUCCCAUUCCUUGUAACUCUACAUCUAUUCUUUUUUUCCCUUUUUUUUCCUACAUCCACAAGAAUCCCCCAGCUAGAGCCAUCAAAUCUAGAUUGUGCCCUAAUUUUUGUCUUUUUCCAAAUACAGGAGAUACUCUCCAUUUCUUUUUAUUUUUAUUUGUUUUCUUUUUAUUUAAUUGGUGUUUGUUGACCUCAUAUGUGCAUUGUACAUGCACUGAAGUCUCGUUCAAAAUCAUUGAAACUCAUGUUUAAAGGUUUUAGAACUUCCUAUUAUAUUCAUUGAGUAGUCAUAGGAUAGAGAAUUCAAUGGAUUAAUGUAUUAUUAGAUUUCAUUUAUUAUUUCAAUGUAUACAAUCUUCUUAAUUUGGAUCCAUGUUGUUUAUACGCCAUCUCAGCAAUCUAGCUAGCAGCUGAGAGCAAACGCCAUAUGGAUCAGGUUUGAUGGAACCAAAGUAGAUGAGGGUCAUGUACUCUUACUAAACUGGGUAAUAGUUCAGCUGCGAUAUAUUUCAUUAAGUGAGAAGGCACGGGCUGAAAAAGAAGGGUUUGGUCAUGGUAUUGAUAAGUAUGACGAGAACUCAAGACUUGGUCAUAAUUAACCAUAAUACAUUAGAGUAGAUUGAGGCGAUUGAAGUGGUCUCAGAGAUACUCCCAAGUACAAGAAUUCAUAGGUCAUAAUAAAAGAGAUGGCCAAUAUAAGCUAUGUCAGGAUAAGUAAGACCGAUGAGAUUAUUGGUCUAACAGUUGAUGCAGGGCACACUACAGUAAAAGGGGGAAACGCCGACGCUUAAAUGCCGACGCUAUUGAAAAGCGUCGGUAAAUUCUUCUCCCGCGCUAAAUUUUACCGACGCUUUUAGGGAGUGUGGGAAAAUUGAGGGAUUAGACGACGCUUAAAAGCGUCGUCGUAGACUGAAGCCAAACGACGCUUUAAAGCGUCGUUGUUGAUGGCCUAAGACGACGCGUAUAUGCGUGGUUAAUCCAAACGGUAAAACGACGCUUAUAAGCAUCGCCGAAGGCACCUUAAGACCCACCGUCCCGCAGACUUGCCCUAGCUACUCCCGAGCCCCCUUUUUCUCCUCCUCUCCGGCGCUGAAGCCACCGAACCCAGCGGCCUUCGUCUUCCUCCUCUCGGCGUUGCCUUAGCCCCCAUCUUCCUCCUCUCCGGUGCGGAUCGUCCGACUCCUACCUCCUCCUCCUCCCUCCUCUCCGGCGUCGACCGACCGACCCCAACCCGCUCCGCCCUCCCGAGGUAGUUUUCUUCUCCUCCCUCCUCUCCCUCCUUCUCGCUUGUUCUGCUCCCCACCGUUUCUGUUCAACCGUUUCCCUCCCGCUUUCGGCAAGUAAAACGCUAGCCCUCGUGUUCCGUUCCUUCCACCGUCUCUCCCUCUUCAGUCCCACUCGUCGUGACCUCUCUCUCUCUCGGCUUCCAUCUUUCUUCGCGAAAUCCCUAAGAGAAUUUUUAGGGUUUCGUUGCGCCCGAUCCGGGCCGGCGUAUGAGGAGGGGCUUCCAUCCCGAUCACCGCCCGGGGCGGCCGCCAUUCCGGCCGGUGCUGGGCCACUUCGCUAGGGAAUGCCCUAACGUGAAGUGAGAUCUACCGUUGCUAAUCCUUCCAUCCUUUUUCGGCCUUUUAAUUUUGAUCUUUUUCCCAUCUAAUAUAUGUGUUCUUGGUUGCUGAUGAUGGGGUUUAUCCUUUUUUUUUACAUUUCUUUCUUUAAAAAUGGAUUCUGGAAAUGGUUUUCGUUUCUCGUGUUUUGCUUUGGUUUCAAUAGAUUGUGGCUUAUAUUGGGCUUUUGUGCUGAGCUUCGAGGGAAAACAGAAAUCAAAUGGUCUAUGUAUACACUCUUUGAGGGUCUAUCUCUUACACCCCUCUCUCUCUCUCUUCUCCGCGACCCACAUAUGCCUUCUGUUUGAUUGUUUUGUUUCGUGUAGUUUGAUCUUUGGUGUAUUAGUUCUUCGUAAUCUUUCUGGUAUUUUGUUUUUGUGGCUAUUAAUUAAUCAGUUAUGUUCUUGUUUUUUUUUUUGUCUAUUUUGGGGUAAAUUUUGCGCAGUAAGAAUUCCCCUUAUUUUUUUUGUUCAAGUGAAGUGGAUUGUUUUAUGCGUGCCUUCUGUCUGAUAGUUGUGAUGAGAUUGGCUCAAGUUUAGGAUAUUUUUUUAAUGGAAAUACGUAGUUAGUUGAUUACAUGCAUAUGCUGAAGGUGAUGCCUUGCUUUGAUUGUGGCUUGUGUCUUUGUGUUCUGCUACCUUUUCAUGAAGUGCUAUUAUUUUUUAAUAUGGAAAGUUGGGGCAUGGUGUUCUUUUGGGUCACUUGUCGACAUGAGUGCUGUAAACCUGAGUACUGUUAAGUUGGCUGUGGGAGAAUUCUCUGAAGCCAAACAUAAUUGAUAUCAGUCGUGGAUGCCUUUUAUGCUAGUAUUCUCUGUUCUUCAGUUUAUUUACUUGUUCUUCUUCCUGUUGGGAAAGAUAAAAUCCUUUUGAAGUUUAUUGUAUUGUUUUUAUUGACCACAUCAUUUGAGCACUACAGGAAAAUUGGGAAAAGGCGACCCUUUUUUGCCGACGCUAUCCACAAGCGUCGGGAAAAAAUACCCCAGGCGUCACAUAUCCUCACGCUUCAAAGAAGCGUCGGUGGCUACAUGUGUAUAAAGCAUUUCUGUUGUCCCACCUACACAUGUGAAAAUUUAUGUGUAUAAAUUGGAUAUAUAUACAUGUGUUUGCAUGCAUUUAUGUUCAUAACUCACAUGGAUGCUCUCAGAUAAGCAUAUAGAGGUGCCAUGGAUCAGGAAAUCACCAUAUAUUGAAAGAUUGGUAGAUGAGCUUGUUCUUUUGUGCAAAGAAUCUGCAGUAAGAAAGAGCCGUGAAGUUAUCCGCAAUCACAUUUUACAAUUACUGUUGUUGAUUCAGAAGUCACUUGACAGCUAGGAGUGAUGUCUACAGCUUCGGGGUUGUCCUUCUUGAGCUCUUAACAGGACGCCGGUCUGUGGACAAGAUAUUCUAUAUUUUCUGAUUGUAUCAAUCUUUUUUCUGAAUGGAACAGGCAUGGAGGCAGGGCUUAUGCUUUGUGAUUGCCAGCUUGUCCCAGGAUCACUACAGAUUGGCAUUUAUGGACGACUUUCAUCAAGUCCUUCAAGGUGCCAGAACUUUUUGUUGAGAUUCCUCAAAAUGCUACUAUUGGUUCCUUGAAGUCGCAAGAAUUCUUUCAAUAUCUUUUAGAAUGUUUAAUGACAAUACUCGCCCGAGCAAGGAGCGGAGCAGAGCAGAGCUUAAGAAGACUCCGGUCUGUGGACAAGACUCGCCCGAGCAAGGAGCAGAGCUUGGUUGACUGGGCUCGCCCCAAGCUUAAUGACAAUAUUGUAGAGAUGAUGAUGCCGACCCUUGAUACAUAUUGUAGAUUGUGUACGUAGGAAUUUGACUUGUAUGUUUUUAGAAUGUUUUUGAAGUACAAUGUAAUCAAAUAUGAUAAUAUGAAUGUAAUCAAAGUUCUUGUUUGUGACUCGU